UUUGGUGUCAGUCAGUGCAGAAGCAGCAAGAUGAUCUCUCACAUUCAGCUGCUCUGGCUCUUCAUGUUCUGGCUUCAUGGCUCCAGCGGAGACAUCCUCAUCACUCAGACUCCAAAGUCCGUGGCAGUGUCUCCAGGGGACACAGUCACCAUUAAGUGCAAAGCCAGUUCCAGUGUUAGCAGCAGCAAUAUGCACUUCUACCAGCAGAAACCAGGGCAGGCUCCUAAGCUCCUGCUCUAUAGCACAAGCAGCCGCCCGUCUGGGAUCCCCGCCCGGUUUAGUGGCAGUGGGUCUGGCACCGACUACACUUUCACCAUCAGCCACAUGGAAGCUGGUGAUGCUGGAGAUUAUUACUGUCAGCAGGGUAAUAGCUGGCCUCUCACAGUGAUACAGAGCAGCUGUAGUGGCGACAUUGUGAUGACUCAGACUGCAGAGUCCCUGACCGUGUCUCCAGGACAAACAGCCACCAUGAACUGCAAAGCUGUUUCAUACUGUGGUUCUAGCAUAGCCUGGUACCAACAGAAGUCAGGGCAACCUCUCAAGCUCCUUCUCUACAGCACCAACACCCGUCCAUCUGGGAUCCCAGACCGGUUCAGUGGCCCUAGUUUGGGCAGUGACUGCACGCCCGCUAUGAGCCAGGUUGAAGCAGGCAAUGCUGGAGACUAUUACUGUCAGCAGCAUGGCACCUACCCUCUCACACAGUAA